rnacentral:rRNA from 1 species
UACGUAGGGUGCAAGCGUUGUCCGGAAUUAUUGGGCGUAAAGAGCUCGUAGGCGGUCUGUCGCGUCUGCUGUGAAAACUCGGGGCUUAACCCCGGGCCUGCAGUGGGUACGGGCAGACUAGAGUGCGGUAGGGGAGACUGGAAUUCCUGGUGUAGCGGUGAAAUGCGCAGAUAUCAGGAGGAACACCGGUGGCGAAGGCGGGUCUCUGGGCCGUAACUGACGCUGAGGAGCGAAAGCAUGGGAGCGAACAGG